AACCGGACUAGGUCGGGCAGUUAGGCCCUGCUCUCCACCCGCACCACGGUCUUCAGCGGGGACCGAACCCUGGGCGCGUCCGGACAGACCGGCACGGGCCCCGCAAGCCAACGUCGAAGCCUCGUCCGUCGGGGGCGGCGGUCCGCGGGCGUUCGUCCGCAGGGACGACCGGCCGCGGUUAGUCGGCGGCAGUCCGUCAGGCGCGGAAGCGAGCAGCGGACCGCCGGACAGCCAUCGCUCGACGGGUCGCGGGGUGGAGGAGGCACGCGGGCUUCCCCGUGCUGGAACGCCGGGCAACCUCGGGCGUCCGUCU
rfam:Halococcus morrhuae DSM 1307 contig_152, whole genome shotgun sequence.